rnacentral:rRNA from 1 species
UGGGGAAUAUUGCGCAAUGGGGGAAACCCUGACGCAGCGACGCCGUGUGAGGGAAGAAGGCUUUCGGGUCGUAAACCUCUGUCAGGAAGGAAGAACCUCUCAAGGCUGAACAAGCCUUGGGACUGACGGUACUUCCAGAGGAAGCACCGGCUAACUCCGUGCCAGCAGCCGCGGUAAUACGGAGGGUGCAAGCGUUAAUCGGAAUCACUGGGCGUAAAGCGCGCGUAGGCCGUCUUUUAAGUCGGACGUGAAAGCCCUCGGCUCAACCGGGGAACUGCGUUCGAUACUGGGAGACUUGAGUCCUGGAGAGGGUGGCGGAAUUCCUGGUGUAGGAGUGAAAUCCGUAGAUAUCCGGAGGAACACCGGUGGCGAAGGCGGCCACCUGGACAGGUACUGACGCUGAGGCGCGAAAGCGUGGGG